rnacentral:rRNA from 1 species
CCUACGGGUGGCAGCAGUCGAGAAUCUUUCACAAUGGGGGCAACCCUGAUGGAGUGACGCCGCGUGGAGGAUAAGGUCUUCGGAUUGUAAACUCCUGUCAUGCAUGAACAAGGUGCGUUUUCAAAUAAAGAAUUGCACUUGAUUGUAUUGCAAGAGGAAGAGGCGGCAAACUCUGUGCCAGCAGCCGCGGUAAUACAGAGGCCUCAAGCGUUGUUCGGAUUUACUGGGCGUAAAGGGUGUGCAGGUGGUGUAAAAAGUUAAACGACAAAGCCUUGGGCUUAACCUAAGAAUAAAGUUUGAAACUCUUAUGCUAGAGUCUGGGAGAGGGGGGUGGAAUUCACGGAGUAGCAGUGAAAUGCGUAGAGAUCGUGAGGAAGACCAAAGGCGAAGGCAGCCCCCUGGAACAGUACUGACACUAAAACACGAAGGCUAAGGUAACGAACGGGAUUAGAUACCCGUGUAGUC